GAAAUAGAUUGUGACAAUCCUCCUUAAGGAAUCCCUGGACAUUGGGAACAGACAGCUGUACCCAGCCCUGAUAGUCAUGCAUCUCAUACCAAAUUAGUCCCUCAACAUUGCCCCUUAUUUCCUAGCAGGCUCCCUCACUAAGACAGAGCAGCAUUGGCUGUGCUACCCUCCACAUGGCAACUGCCGCAGCAAGCCUCAUGCCCCCUGGGGCACACCAUGGCUUCCCCCAAGUCCCCCUUGCUGCAGCUGCCAGCCAUAGGACAAAUACUUCAAGGGACAACAUGAGAUAGUUUUUUUCCCUCAUAGUGGCCUAUACUGCUGUGGAAAAGCAUGCAGCACAUUUGCAGCUGAGUAUGAUCUGGAAUAGUAAAGUUAUUAACAACCUUUUGUUUUUGCCUUGGAUGCCCCUCUAAUGCCUGUCUGCACCCAACCUCACUUACCUGGAUGUUGCUGCUGAUGUGACCUGCUCGCUGCCCUCAGACCCUCUGCAUUGGGGAAACCCCAUCCAGCUGCCCUGCGGAGCCAGGCAGGCUGCCUUAUCUGCAAUGGGAAUGCACUGGCUGGCCAAGUGUUGACCCUCUCAGUGAAAAGAGGUCUCCAUACCAGCCCAUGGAACAUCCUCUGCAAGGGAGUCCUAAGGGCCACUACUCUCUCAGCAUCAAAAACAAGCUGCUUUCUCCUCCCACAUAAGAAUUUCACCCUUUGGGGAUGCCUGUACCAGGUCGGACCAGAUAACCUUCCAGCCCUGUAUCCCUCAGCCACAGAAAAUAGCUGUUAUCUCAGAAAACAUUAAAAACCUCAAAGGGGCAUGCAUUUGAUGAUGCAUCCUUUGUAUAUCUCA